GACGGAGGAUGCAAGUGUUAUCCGGAAUCACUGGGCGUAAAGCGUCUGUAGGUGGUUUAAAAAGUCCACUGUUAAAGAUUGAAGCUUAACUUCAAAAAUGCCGUGGAAACUUUUAAACUUGAGUAUGAUAGGGGUAGAGGGAAUUUCCAGUGGAGCGGUGAAAUGCGUAGAUAUUGGAAAGACCACCAAUGGCGAAGGCACUCUACUGGGCCAUUACUGACACUGAGAGACGAAAGCUAGGGGAGCAAACAGG
rnacentral:rRNA from 1 species